rnacentral:rRNA from 1 species
UACGGAGGGGGCGAGCGUUAUUCGGAAUCAUUGGGCGUAAAGGGCGCGUAGGCGGCUUCAUAAGUCCCGGGUGAAAGCCCUCGGCUCAACCGAGGAACUGCCUUGGAUACUGUGAAGCUCGAGGCUGGAAGAGGGUAGUGGAAUUCCCGGUGUAGCGGUGAAAUGCGUAGAUAUCAGGAGGAACACCGGUGGCGAAGGCGGGUCUCUGGGCCGAUACUGACGCUGAGGAGCGAAAGCGUGGGGAGCGAACAGG